GAAGGAAUUAAGAGCGCAUAGUGGAUGCCUUGGCACCAAGAGCCGAUGAAGGACG
rnacentral:rRNA from 3 species